rnacentral:rRNA from 1 species
UACAGAGGUCCCAAGCGUUGUUCGGAUUCACUGGGCGUAAAGGGUGCGCAGGUGGGUUUGCAAGUUCGAUGUGAAAGCCCCGGGCUUAACCCGGGAAUGGCAUUGGAUACUGCAGAUCUGGAGGAUCGGAGGGGGGACUGGAAUUCUUGGUGUAGCAGUGAAAUGCGUAGAUAUCAAGAGGAACACCAGUGGCGAAGGCGAGUCCCUGGACGAUACCUGACACUGAGGCACGAAAGCUA